rnacentral:lncRNA from 1 species
GCAAAAUUUGCAAAUCGAGUAAAGCUAUGAACAUUCAAGGGGACGAAUUUUGGCAGGAAAAUGGAAGGAUGUCAGCUACCAUAGCCAAGGUCUGCUCAAAAUUCAAGACAGCAGACAGCCCUUGAACAAUUCAAGUUUGUGCUUCAAUUAACAGGUGAGAAGGAAUCCAAAAGAUGACGUAUCAUUUAUCGAAAGAUGCUCUAUUGGCAGAAUUAACAAUAUAAACAAACUUGUUUCUUCUUCAAGUUUUCUCUUCAAGACACCAAGAGGACCAAUGAAGCGUCGAAGAGCAUCAUUGCUGUACUUUAAGGUAACUGCAACACAAAUUUUUAUAUAAUUACACUAUUAGUUUAUAUAAUUAGAUCAAACAACAUUUACCUUGUUGACUUUUGUUGUUAUCGACUACUUGGUCGAUUGAUCUAGACAUUCUUUCUUCAAGAGACUGAAUGCUAGGCAAUACUCUGCCUCUUAAAUCACCCCCGAAAGCACCCAAAUGUUGGUUUUCAAAUUGGUUCUGACUAGAAAUGGAGUCUGGGUUAAGGAAUUGGUGAAGAAUGCCUGAAGUUGGGGGUGAAUCUUGGGGAGCCAUGAUUAUAGAACUGGAAAUAAAUUUUUCAGUACUAAAAAUAAACUGGAAUUAUGUAAAUCACUCAAAGGAUAAGAAGAGAUUUUGGAGUACUUAAGCAGAUAAGAUAAGUACCUAUCAAAACUUCAGUUCCCAUAAUGAAGUAAAAUAAGAGUCUACAAGUGCACCAUAAAUACCACUAUUUGAUAAUAGUUCAUUCAAAAAAGAAAGCAACGAUUCUCUCUCUCUGUCUCUG